UGUUUUUUUUUUUUUCUGGCGGAAUUCUUUAAUUUAACCUCCCCAUCCCGCUCAGCUGUGUCUUGCUAAGAACAUGAUCACCAGUGUCUACAUCCCUCCAUUCAGUCCGUAUCUCUCCUCUCCUCCGAGCUUGUCAACUACAGCUUGUUACCCUUUGGAGGGACGGUGUUUUAGGGUCACAGAAACACUGAGUGGAAAGUUCAGAGAGUUCCCAUACAUCCCCCUGCACAGCCUCCUCACCAUCAACGUUGGCACCAGAAUGCAGGGUGGGGGCAUGGACAGAAAGAAGGAGGUGCUGAUGCUGGAGAACUUGACCACAGCAGGAUGGAGAAGAUGAAAAUCAAGUCUUACCUCCCCUUCCAGAGAUAACUGCUCACGUAGUUCCAGCCAAUCUCUUUCAAUGCCAAAUAUUUAAGACAUUAUUUUAAUAAAAAUAAUACUCAAUUAUUAUUGAAAACAAAAGGAAAAACCCCUGUAAUCCCACCACUUAGAUAACCAGUGUUACCAUUGUGAUGGCCUUUGUUUUUUUGCCCUGCAUUUAAAGACAAACACUAAAUAUACAUUACGUCACAUGCAUUUUCCAAAAAAAAAAAACAUAGCACAAACUUUAAUUGCACAAGACGGAAAUGAUCGUGCACAGAGAGCACACACAUAUCCCACAUUUCAAUCUUAGUUAUAAACAUUGAUGAAAAUCAAAUAAAAUAUUGGGAAUAGACUCCAGCACUGUACUUUAAGAAAGGUACUGUGACCAGGUGAAGUUCAUUUGGGAAUGCAGAGAUAAUAAAAUAUUAGGAAAUCUAUUAAUAUAAUCAAUCUUAUAUGAAAAUUCCAUAUGAUUAUUUUGAUACUGAGAAGCCAUAUGAAAAUUCAUAAUGUGAUUAAAAAAACCCUCAAACCAACAGAAUUAUGCUUAAUUAAACACAAUGCUGUUAAAGUCAGAGAAAGACAAGUGUUGCUGUGAUCUCCUUGUUAAAAAGUUCUUGUCAAUACAAUGAACAAGAUAAUUAAGCAAGAUGUCUAAAUAUUGGAGAGAAAAAGGCAAAAUUGUCUUCCUUUGAAGAUGAUGCGAUUGCCUACUAAGAGAAUCGUUUAAAAACUUUUGAAAGUAAUAAAGUUCAAUAUAACGUACAGGUAUAAAAUAAAUAUACAUAACAUGCAUAGUUUCUUAUAUAGCAGCAACAAUCAGAAAAUAUAAUGGAAAAGAUAUUGAUGCUCACAAUAGCAUCAAUGAAAUAAAAAUACCUAAGAAUACAUGUAAACAAAACAAAAAACAAAACAGAGUAGAAUCUUUAUGAAACUCUCCUGAGAGACUCUCAUAACACGGUUCAAAUACAUGAGAACAAAAAUCUUGCUACUGGGUGGUGUAUUCGUUUCCCUGGCUGCCAUAACAAAUUACCACAAACUGAGUGCCUGAGAAAUUUGCUCUCACAGUUCUGGAGGCCAGAAUUCUGAAAUCAAAGUGUCAGCAGAAUCUCAGAAGGCUCUAGGAGAGGAUCUGGCUUGUGGACACAUCAUCCCAAACUCUGCCUCUGUCAUCACAUAGUGUUUUUCUUGUGCUUCUGUCUGUAAGUCUCUGCUCCUCUUCUUAUAAGGACACCAGUCACGUUGGAUUACUGCCCAUCCUAAUGACCUCCUCUUAACUUGACUACAUCUGCAAAGACAUUAUUUCCAAAUAAGGUCAUAUUCACAGGUGCUGGGGGUUAGGACUUCAGCAUAUCUUUUGGAAGGGGACACAAUUCAACCCAUAAGAGAUGGGAAGACUCAAUGUUAAAAAGAUGCACAUUUUCAAACCAAUCUGUAAAUCCUAUGCGAUCUCAAUAAAAAUCCCAAAGGGAUUCCAAGUGGAUUCUGAAACUCAGAGGGGGAGGGGAGCAAUAUGAAAAUAGCCUAAGUGUGUGUGAUACUAAUGGAGGAGCAGAUGGAUCAGUGCAACACGAUAGUGCAGACCCAAUUGAGCGAGUGUGUAUGUGUGUGUUAUGGGUUGAAUUGUGUCCCUCUAAAAUCCACAUGUCGAAAUUCUAACCCACAGUACCUCAGAAUUUAACUGUAUUUGGAGAUGGGGUCUUUAAGGAGGUAUUUAAAUUAAAUGAGAUCGUUAGGUUUGGCUUUAAUACAAUAUGAUUGGUGUCCUUAUAAGAAGAGGAGAUUAGGACACAGACACGCACAGAGGUAAGCCCAAGUGAAUAUGCA